rnacentral:rRNA from 1 species
ACUCCGAUUGCGANGGCAGCUUGCUGGACUGUAACUGACGCUGAGGCACGAAAGCGUGGGGAUCAAACAGGAUUAGAUANCCUGGUAGUCCACGCCGUAAACGAUGAAUGCUAGCUGUUAGCGAUAUACUGUUAGCGGCACAGAGAAAUCGUUAAGCAUUCCACCUGGGGAGUACGCCGGCAACGGUGAAACUCAAAGGAAUUGACGGGGGCCCGCACAAGCGGAGGAACAUGUGGUUUAAUUCGAUGAUACGCGAGGAACCUUACCUGGGCUUAAAUUGCAGUGGAAUAACGUGGAAACAUGUUAGCCUUCGGGCCGCUGUGAAGGUGCUGCAUGGUUGUCGUCAGCUCGUGCCGUGAGGUGUCGGCUUAAGUGCCAUAACGAGCGCAACCCUCAUCGAUAGUUACUAACAGGUUAAGCUGAGGACUCUAUCGAGACUGCCGACGUAAGUCGUGAGGAAGGUGGGGAUGACGUCAAAUCAGCACGGCCCUUACGUCCAGGGCUACACACGUGUUACAAUGGGGGGUACAAAGGGCAGCUACCUGGCGACAGGAUGCUAAUCUCAAAAACCUCUCUCAGUUCGGAUUGGAGUCUGCAACCCGACUCCAUGAAGCUGGAUUCGCUAGUAAUCGCGCAUCAGCCACGGCGCGGUGAAUACGUUCCCGGGCCUUGUACACACCGCCCGUCAAGCCAUGGGAGCCGGGGGGACCUGAAGUAUGCAACCGUAAGGAGCGUCCUAGGGUAAAACUGGUGACUGGGGCU